UAUGGGGGGGGCAAGCGUUGUUCGGAAUUACUGGGCGUAAAGGGCUCGUAGGCGGCCAACUAAGUCAGACGUGAAAUCCCUCGGCUUAACCGGGGAACUGCAUCUGAUACUGGAUGGCUUGAGUUCGGGAGAGGGAUGCGGAAUUCCAGGUGUAGCGGUGAAAUGCGUAGAUAUCUGGAGGAACACCGGUGGCGAAGGCGGCAUCCUGGACCGGCACUGACGCUGAGGAGCGAAAGCCAGGGGAGCAAACGGG
rnacentral:rRNA from 1 species